AACCCGUAACUAUUAAUACCGCUCUCACCUACGCCUUGCCCGUUGUCCCCUUCAAAACCCUCGCAGAGAAUUUUGACUUCCUGCUUUUUUUCUCAUCAACGAAAUCUGCAUUAACGACGAAAAUCUCGGUGAAGAAAAUACUUAGAUUUUUUAUUUUGUUUUUCUCUGUUAGUCUGUUUUUAGCUUUAAUGGAGGAGAUGGAGGGAGAAAGAGUGCGAGAGAAGGACGUUGACAAUGCAGAAGAGAUCAAGGAUGAAAAUAAUAAUAAUACUAACAAGAUAAUGAAGCUGAAGAAGACGAAGAAGCAGCAGAAGAAGAAGAAUAAGAGAAAAGCAUCGAGUUUGGCGAGAUUUGGAUGCUUGAGAAUGGAAUCUGAUGAGAAUGGUGGUGUCGAUAUGGAAGUCGAGUUUCCGGGAGAGCGUAACCAACCUACUCAUCUUGUUGUACUGGUUAAUGGCAUCAUUGGCAGUGCUCAGAAUUGGAGAUUUACAGCAAAGCAGUUUUUGAAGAAGUAUCCGGAAGAUGUUAUUGCUCAUUGCAGUGAGCGCAAUUCUUCAAUGUCGACAUUUGAUGGUGUCGAUGUAAUGGGCGACAGAUUAGCAGAGGAGGUUAAAUAUGUCAUAAGCCGUCACCCAAGUGUUCAGAAGAUUUCUUUUGUUGGUCAUUCAUUAGGUGGCCUUGUAGCAAGGUACGCCAUUGCACGGCUUUAUGAACAAGAUCUCACUCGAGAAAAUUCUCAAACAAAUGGAGAUUGUGGAACUGAUCAUUUGGGAGAUUCGUGCCCCGAAGGGAAAUUCAAAGGCAAAAUUGCCGGAUUAGAACCCAUGAAUUUCAUAACUUUUGCAAGUCCACACCUUGGUUCUCGGUGGCAUAAACAGGUUCCAUUGUUCCGAGGCUCCCGUGCACUGGAAAAAGUUGCCGCUCGCACAUCAUGGCUUCUUGGUAGAACUGGAAAACAUCUGUUUUUGACUGAUGGAAAGAAUGGAAAACCUCCUCUUCUUCUCCGUAUGGUCAGUGAUUGUGAAGAUCUUAAAUUUAUGUCUGCUCUGCAGUCCUUCAGGCGUCGUGUUCUGUAUGCAAAUGCUAGUUUCGACCAUAUUGUUGGGUGGAGUACUUCUUCCUUACGGCGUCGAAAUGAGCUUCCAAAGAUUAAACAGCUUCCCAGAGGUGACAAAUACCCACACGUCAUAAAUAUGGAGACAGCAAAAACUGCUACUCUUGAUGAAGUCCUUUCUGAGGCCACAAUCAAUGGAGAUGAGAAGAUAAACGUGGAAGAGGAAAUGAUCAAGGGUUUAACAAAACUGAGCUGGGAAAGGGUUGAUGUUUACUUCAAAGGAAGCAGACAAAGAAUUCUCGCACAUAGUACCAUUCAGGUGAAAAACUACUGGGUUAAUUCUGAUGGUGCUGAUGUAGUCCAACACAUGAUUGACAAUUUUCUAUUAUAAGAGAAGGUGGAGUCUUAUAUGUCGUUAUCAAAAGCGUGAAGAGAUUAGUCCCUCUGUAAAGGAAGUCCAGAAGUAAAAUGGCAGCAUCGUUCCAAAGAUUGUAACAGCUUACAGCUUGGCAGCAAGCAACUCCACGUAAGUGGACGUUGGAUUGCAGUUGGUGAUCUAGAUUUAGUAGGAUUUAGAUUAUCUGUGGCGUCUUGUCGGUCCCAGCCCUGCUCUCUCUCUUUCUCUCUGUUCCUUUGUGUUGGCCACUAUGUUGAAGCUGGACUUUGGCCCAUUCUACUGCUGCUGUAAUGCCCGUAAAUAGUAAUGCUGCUGUAACUAUAAUCAAUAAUGGAGAAGGUAUCAGCAUCAGAAUUCAGAAGUAAAAUAAGUAAUGAAAUUUAAAAGCGAUUAGAAAAUUUCUAGUUUCUCGUGCAAUUCCGCAGAAUUUUAGUUUUUUUGGAGUAAUAAUCUUACGGAGUUUGGUCCAUUUUGAAAAUUUACGAAUGAUCAAUAGAUGCUUAAUUGAUGUUCUUUUUAUAUCAUAAACGUGGAUUUCUGAAAAAACCUAUGAUUUCUGGAUACUGAGCUGAAUUUCUUUUCGACAACAUUGAAAUCACUAAAUGUAAAGGGUAAUUUAUAGUAUUAUUAUAUCUUAAAAAUUCGCAGUUAGCAGGAUUGCAGAAUAUAUACAGGGUUCUCUGUUAAGGAUAAGACUCUCAUUCCCAAAAGCGCGUAAGCUUGCAGGUGAAAUGUUUAACUCCCAAACAACCAAGAAAAUUGCUGUUUGUUCCUAUAAAAGAGUAUAUGAUGAAGCAAACGCCAUAGUCUAUUGUCUUACAUACCAUCUCGAAAAUAGUAUCUUCCUUGGGAAAUAGUAAUACAAAUACUAUUCCCAAGUGAUAGUGAAAGGAGGGAUUUGGCGUGUUGGAGUGAAAGUGGUCAAGACUCACGCACGAGUCACCGACUGUGUCCACGAGCCAAAACCCGAAACCGAGCCCCUCCCUCAAAAGGAACGUAAACGUUGGGGGGGGGGGGGGGGGGCAAAUUGAGAGGAGAAAAUGAGGAAGGAAAAGGAAAUCCCAGAGAAACUCGUCCAACCUGUGACAUUACAUAAACCCCUUUUGUAGAAAACUCUCUAUCAUUUGUUAUUUGUGUGAUCUUUUUUGUUACUGCUUUUUGUUUUCAUUCUUAUUCUUUUCCUUUGGCUGGCUGUGCAGCUGUCCACCCUUUUUGCUUUUCUACCUCCUCUCUGCUACCACAGUUGUUUUCAUUUCUAUUUUCCUCUUUUUCUUAUGGUAAAGUGCCUUGGUUUUUUGGUGGCUCAUGAAACGAGGCUGAGGUCCUUCCCUUUUCGGUUGAGGUCCUCCCCAUUUGCUUUUAGCCUCGUUGCAGUGCUCUUUCUGCCUUCCACGUUCGAUCCUUGAUUCAGAUUUUCAGAGAUAUUACAAUGUAAAAAACAGACUCAUCUUUUUUUUGCAUUGUGGAGGUGGCAUUCAAGUAGUGGAAAACUCUCCUUGGUCUACACUACCAACCACAUUUAAUUUCCCUGCUUGGUCCUAUUAAUUUACUUCUCUGAUAUCCCAUCUUGUAUCUCACCUCUUUUUUAAGGUUUUGAACUCCCACCCCUUCUCUCUUUGAGAAAAAUGAGCAUCUCUGCAAAUUGUGUUUGCUGCCACAGAAAUAGACACCUUCUAGUUUCGUUGCUGUUUCUUCUGGUUUCAAGCUUGACUCACGUUAGAUUCAUGGCUGCAGAAGGUAAGUUUCUUUCCUUGUCUAAAUUUCAAAAAGAAUAUCUCCAAAUUGAAAAUUGAAAGCCUAAUCAUUGACUUAAUAUUCACCCUCUUUCGUGUAUUCCAGCAAGGUCCUUUUCCAGGUUACUCGAGGUUGAUCAGGUAUCAGGAUCAUAGUUCCAUUUCAAGUAUAAUCUUGCUUCUUUCUUUACAUCCAAACAGCAGUGACAGAUUUGAAUAAUGUUGUUUGAACAGAAAGGAAUUGAAGAGGAGAAGAAGACAAUGGUGAUGACAAGUCUGAUAGGGUCAAGACCACCAAGGUGCGAGAGAAGGUGCGGUUCCUGCCCACACUGUGAGGCAAUUCAAGUUCCUAUCACAACACAAUCCCAUAACCGCAGAACCCGCCAAUUCUCAGCUGCAAUAUUCACAAUUCCUUACUCUAGAGGUGAUGACAUCUCCAACUACAAGCCCAUUAGCUGGAAGUGCAAGUGUGGAAACCUGAUUUUCAAUCCUUGAUUGAAAGUAAAAAUAAAACAUGUUGUGUGUAAAAACACCCUCCUUUUCAACUGUGGAUAAAAUGACUUCAAUUCUAUACCUUUUGUCGUUUCCACUCUCCUCUCUUGCAAGGUAUAGAUAUGGCUUUGUCCACAAUUUGUUUUCUUGAGUUACACUUAAGCAGCAACAGAUUCUAAGAUACCUUAACUCGAAAUUCUUCAAUUAGUAUUUUGUUUUUAAUAUUUUUUCGGGGGGUGAGGUGAGAUUUGUUAAUUCUGAUGGCAAGUGACGACAUGGGUAGUUUAAAAGAGAUAAAGAUGGGUGCGUAUCAAGUCUGUCAGACAGUUCUGCUUUCGUGUCUUGCAAUAUUUGUGCACUACACUCCAGACUCCAGAGAGAAAGCUAAGACCCUGUUCUGUUGCAUUUUAGACAGCCUGCCUCGAAGGGAUCAAUGCUGUUAGGCACAAAAGCCUCCAACUAAAUAUUCGUAUAGUAAAAUCAAAUAUUUAAUU